GUUGAGAUCAAUGGCUUCCCCUGAAAAAGUGGGUGGUGGUGCGCACGAUAAGCACAACCACCACAAGACUGUCAGAAAUGAUUAUGCUAACAACAACAACCACCACGGUGGCGCUGGAUCGUCGGAAAGUGCGCAGGAUAGCAAGGAAGACGGAAAUGAAGCGAUUCCGAUGGUAUGGCCAUCUAAGUUUGUGAUAGGUUUAACAAACAAGGAGAAAGAAGAGGAUUUCAUGGCUAUCAAAGGCUCAAAGUUGCCUCAAAGACCCAAAAAAAGAGCCAAAACUGUUCAACGCACCCUCAAUCUAAUAAGUCCUGGAGAUUGGCUAUGUGAUUUAUCGUUGGAGCGAUAUGAAGUUAGGGAGAAAAAAGUAUCCAAGAAGAGACCAAGAGGACUCAAAGCUAUGGGAAACAUGGAAUCUGACUCUGAGUAAACUAUUACUGGUUUCAUUGAGUGAAAAAAACAACUACUUUAUGACUGAAAAUAUGAGCUGUUUCAAAUGUACUUUUUUCGCCUUUCGAUACUCUAUAAUUAAUUUUGAGAUAACUUUAUCCGUGAACGAAACGAUCUCAAGGGCUAGGUUGAUUGUACUUCUUCGUUGGCGU
rnacentral:misc_RNA from 1 species